rnacentral:rRNA from 1 species
CGCGGUAAUACGUAGGGUGCGAGCGUUAAUCGGAAUUACUGGGCGUAAAGCGUGCGCAGGCGGUUUUGUAAGACAGGUGUGAAAUCCCCGGGCUUAACCUGGGAACUGCAUUUGUGACUGCAAGGCUAGAGUGCGGCAGAGGGGGGUAGAAUUCCACGUGUAGCAGUGAAAUGCGUAGAGAUGUGGAGGAAUACCGAUGGCGAAGGCAGCCCCCUGGGUCGACACUGACGCUCAUGCACGAAAGCGUGGGGAGCAAACAGGAUUAGAUACCCUGGUAGUCCACGCCCUAAACGAUGUCAACUAGGUGUUGGGGAAGGAGACUUCUUUAGUACCGCAGCUAACGCGCUAAGUUGACCGCCUGGGGAGUACGGUCGCAAGAUUAAAACUCAAAGGAAUUGACGGGGACCCGCACAAGCGGUGGAUUAUGUGGAUUAAUUCGAUGCAACGCGAAAAACCUUACCUACCCUUGACAUGCCAGGAAGAUUCCAGAGAUGGGAUUGUGCCCGCAAGGGAACCUGGACACAGGUGCUGCAUGGCUGUCGUCAGCUCGUGUCGUGAGAUGUUGGGUUAAGUCCCGCAACGAGCGCAACCCUUGUCAUUAAUUGCCAUCAUUCAGUUGGGCACUUUAAUGAGACUGCAGGUGAUAAACCGGAGGAAGGUGGGGAUGACGUCAAGUCCUCAUGGCCCUUAUGGGUAGGGCUUCACACGUAAUACAAUGGUCGGUACAGAGGGUUGCCAACCCGCGAGGGGGAGCUAAUCCCAGAAAGCCGAUCGUAGUCCGGAUUGUUCUCUGCAACUCGAGAGCAUGAAGUCGGAAUCGCUAGUAAUCGCGGAUCAGCAUGUCGCGGUGAAUACGUUCCCGGGUCUUGUACACACCGCCCGUCACACCAUGGGAGUGGAAUCUGGCAGAAGU